rnacentral:rRNA from 1 species
AUACGGAGGUUGCAAGCGUUAAUCGGAAUUACUGGGCGUAAAGGGCGCGGAGGCGGUCUAUCAAGUCAGUUGUGAAAUCCCACGGCUCAACCGUGGAGGUGCAUCUGAAACUGAUAGACUUGAGUAUGGGAGAGGAAAGUGGAAUUCCCGGUGUAGAGGUGAAAUUCGUAGAUAUCGGGAGGAACACCAGUGGCGAAGGCGACUUUCUGGACCAAUACUGACGCUGAGGCGCGAAAGCGUGGGGAGCAAACAGGAUUAGAUACCCUAGUAGUCC